rnacentral:rRNA from 1 species
ACCUGCGGAAGGAUCAUUGUCAAACCUGCCCAGCAGAAAGACCCGCGAAC